CGCGGCCUAUCAGCUUGUUGGUAGGGUAACGGCCUACCAAGGCGAUGACGGGUAGCCGGUCUGAGAGGACGAUCGGUCACACUGGGACUGAGACACUGCCCAGACUCCUACGGGAGGCUGCAGUCGAGAAUCUUCCGCAAUGGGCGCAAGCCUGACGGAGCGACACCGCGUGCAGGAUGACGGCCUUCGGGUUGUAAACUGCUGUCACGCUAUAGGAAUUCCCUGUCGUUAAUAGCGCCAGGGUUGACCAAAGCGAGAGGAAGCACCGGCUAACUCCGUGCCAGCAGCCGCGGUAAGACGGAGGGUGCAAACGUUGUUCGGAAUUACUGGGCAUAAAGAGCACGUAGGCGGUCCGGUCAGUCUGAUGUGAAAGCCCUCGGCUCAACCGGGGAACUGCAUCGGAUACUGCCGGACUCGAGGACGGUUGGGGUGAGUGGAACUCCUGGUGGAGCGGUGAAAUGCGUAGAUAUCAGGAGGAACACCAGUGGCGAAAGCGACUCACUGGGCCGUUUCUGACGCUGAGGUGCGAAAGCUAGGGUAGCGAACGGGAUUAGAUACCCCGGUAGUCCUAGCCGUAAACGAUGGGCACUAGGUAGGGGGGAUGCCUAUGAUCUUCUCUGCCGGAGCAAAUGUGUUAAGUGCCCCGCCUGGGGAGUACGG
rnacentral:rRNA from 1 species